UAAAGCAGGUGUCAAUGUUUACAAUUAUUGAGAGGAGGAGGUAUCCUUCUAGUCAGGAAAAAAGAAAAAAACAACACCAGGAAAAACACCAGGAAAAUGGAUUUCGGGAACAGCAAUCAGGGCACCCAGAGACUACGCUGGGUGGAGUGUCGAUGUCCGCCACAGCUGACAGAUGAGGUCACUGCAGGAAAAGGAAGUGGGAUGCGCUUCUGUGACCUGUCAAGUGGGCGUAGGAAAUGUGAAUGGUCAUCUGGGUCCAAGUCAGACAAGGUUUGAUCGAUAUAUCCGGAAGAAGCUCGGAGCGAUGCCACGGUCUGGGAUUGCACAGGAUUUUGGAAUUAUCCGCUGAUGGGUUGCAAAGGGUCUGGUGAAACACUCGUCAGCAACAGGCUUUGAUCAGGCGUGCCGGGAGAGGACAGGAGCGACACUGACCGAAUAUAUUUUGACUGGCCCGAGUGAAAAAAGGCUGGCAGCGAGUGUUAGAACGGGCACAGAAAAGGAGAAAGUGUAAAACUGAAUUUGUCAGACCUGACGGGACUUUUCGGUUUCAUGCCGUCUGGGUCUUAUUUUAUUUUUUUUGUUUUGACCAUCCUUCCUGUCCAUAUUCAUAAUAUUUUACUAAGUUAACUGCUAGGAUGUUGAAACAUGGAGACUAAAGCAAAAAAAAAAAAAAAAAAAAAAUCAAAUAUGCGGUAAAAUUAUUACCAAAACUGUAACCACUAUAAACAUAAAUCACUAUUAACAAACUGAAACUUGUAUUGAAAUUCAACGUACUUACCCAUAGUUUUUGUCUACAAUGAUGGGUCAUUACUAACAUUUUUGGGUGUGCUUAGUUUUGGUUUUAUCUCCAAAUAAAGUUUAAAUAAUGGUUUUUACACACAGGAAAUUUGACCUCUACAUCUGAAAGUAGUGAACACACACACACCUGGAGCAGAGGGCAGCUGUGGUGCAGCGCCCAGGGAGCCAUUGGGGAGUUUUGUGCCUUGCUCAAGGGCACUUCAGCCAUGUAUGUUGAGGGAGGGGAAAGUACUGCCCCGCAGCUGCCCCCGUGGUCUAGAGGUUGUGUUUAUGACCUCAUGUUUCCUGCCCUGUCAGGUUUGAUUGUAGAAACAUCGUCUUGUUUCCAGAUUGGAGCAGUUUUUUCAGCGACGUCACUAUUGACCAAAACUAUGUAAAUGCAACCCAAAAUAAUCAAGAGAGAUUUGACUUGAAAAGCCAAUCCACCCAUAUCACCCCUUGUGGUAGCCAUUGAGAUAGUUUGAUUU